UAUUAUGCCCCCCUUCGAAGAAGAGGGGGUAUAUUGUUUUGCACAUGUCGGUCCGUCCACCAGAUGGUUUCCGGAUGAUAACUCAAGAACGCUUAGGCCUAGGAUCAUGAAACUUCAUAGGUACAUUGAUCAUGACUGGCAGAUGACCCCUAUUGAUUUUCAGGUCACUAGGUCAAAGGUCAAGGUCACAGUGAC